rnacentral:rRNA from 1 species
GACGUAGGGUGCAAGCGUUAAUCGGAAUUACUGGGCGUAAAGCGUGCGCAGGCGGUUUUGUAAGCCAGAUGUGAAAUCCCCGGGCUUAACCUGGGAAUGGCAUUUGGGACUGCAAGGCUUGAGUGCGGCGGAGGAGACUGGAAUUCCUGGUGUAGCAGUGAAAUGCGUAGAGAUCGGGAGGAACACCGGUGGCGAAGGCGGGUCUCUGGGCAUCUCCUGACGCUGAGGCGCGAAAGCGUGGGGAGCAAACGGG